AGUGAACGCUGGCGGUAGGCCUAACACAUGCAAGUCGAACGGCAGCACAGUAAGAGCUUGCUCUUACGGGUGGCGAGUGGCGGACGGGUGAGGAAUACAUCGGAAUCUACUUUUUCGUGGGGGAUAACGUAGGGAAACUUACGCUAAUACCGCAUACGACCUACGGGUGAAAGCAGGGGAUCUUCGGACCUUGCGCGACUGAAUGAGCCGAUGUCGGAUUAGCUAGUUGGCGGGGUAAAGGCCCACCAAGGCGACGAUCCGUAGCUGGUCUGAGAGGAUGAUAAGCCACCUUGGAAGUGAGACACGGUCAAGACUCCUACGGGAGGCAGCAGUGGGGAAUAUUGGACAAUGGGCGCAAGCCUGAUCCAGCCAUACCGAGUGGGUGAAGAAGGCCUUCGGGUUGUAAAGCCCUUUUGUUGGGAAAGAAAAGCAGCAGGUUAAUACCACGCUGUUCUGGCGGUACCCAAAGAAUAAGCACCGGCUAACUUCGUG
rnacentral:rRNA from 1 species